CCAUCAUUUUAUUCCUUUACUUUUUUUUUUAUUAUCUCCAUCUCUUCUUCCUCUACAAACUUUGGGAAGAAGGGAGGGCUGUGAUCUUUGCACGUGUCCCAAUAAUCUUCUCCAUUGAUCAAGAGGGAAGAUGUGAUGUAAUGAGAUGAGGAGAACAAAUAUGGAAAAUUAUCAAGGAUCUUUUGUGUAUGUAACUAAUAGGAUUAUGAUGAUACAAUAUGUCUCACGAUUUCUCUACAUUUCUUAAUAUGUGAAAUGACUUUUUUGCCCCGUCAUUAGAGGGAUUCGAUCAGAAAAACACAUUAUAAAAGAGAAAUCAGUGGUGAUUGAUUAGAACAUAUGAUUGAUUGACGUUUACAUCCUAUAUAGUAUGAUACUAAUUAUAUAA